GGGGAAGGAUCAUUAAUCGAGUUUUUGAAACGGGUUGUCCGCGGUCCCGUUCUUACAGAGUCGGGAAUGUGCACACCUGGCUUCAUUCCACUCUUCAACCCCUGUGCACUUGUGGUAGGUUUCAGGUCGGACGCGGGGCUUUCGACUUCAUCGUCGAGAGCCUCAAGGAAAGCCUGAGCCUAUGUUUUACCAUACACACGCUUCAGUUAUAGAAUGUAAACAUCGCGUAUAACGCAUUUUAAAUACAACUUUCAGCAACGGAUCUCUUGGCUCUCGCAUCGAUGAAGAACGCAGCGAAAUGCGAUAAGUAAUGUGAAUUGCAGAAUUCAGUGAAUCAUCGAAUCUUUGAACGCACCUUGCGCUCCUUGGUAUUCCGAGGAGCAUGCCUGUUUGAGUGUCAUGGAAUUCUCAACCUUUGAAAGCUUUUAUCGGUUCUCAAAGGCUUGGACUUGGAGGUCGUGUCGGCUCUGCAAAGAAUAUCGACUCCUCUGAAACGUAUCAGGUGCGAACCUUUACGGAUCGUCUUCGGUGUGAUAAAAGUCUACACCGUGGUCGUGAAGUAUGAUCGUGUCCGUGCUUCUAA
rnacentral:rRNA from 1 species